ensembl:lncRNA
CAUGUUGCUGUUAAAAGAAAUAGUUUCUAUAUUUAAAAUGACAUUAAGGAGAUGAAUAUUCCACGAGGGGGGGAGGAGGGGAGAGGAACAUCACUGACAGCUUCCUGGCAAAGCAUUUAAGACACUGGAAAACAGACACCGCGCUGAUAUGUGGAUAAACCUAGCAAGGACGUGGUGUAAUGGAGGGAAGAAUUUGGGUGGAGCUGCCUGCUUCCCUUCCAACUGCUUGAACAAAGAAAGAAAGAAAGGAAGAAUAAUGGUAUUAGUAGUGAGUUAAAUGGAAAGCUGAAAACGUGAAUCUUAGUGUCUUACAACUGAGGUUAGCAUGAUGUUGCAAAAGCACUUGCCCACCACCAAGGGUGAGGUGUCAGGGAGCACUGUUCUAUACCUGAUGGUGGAUGCCUGAGUAUUUUCUUUUUGACCCUGCUUAAGCUGUGCAAGCAGAAGAUGCACAUGAAGUGGUAAAUUUUCGUAGUAACUCUGAAGUCACCCAUAACCCACAGAAGCGCCAGGCAGUGACUGGGUCGUAGGGAAAUUUCAGGGCUUUUGUAACCACAGAUACUGCAGAUGUAAGUACACGUGGUGCUACAACACUGCAAGCCUGUCAUUCUGAUACGCUUACUGGAAGUAGUGAGGAGCUCCACUGCCUAUUUAAAAUCUGCAUUUCGGAGACUGACUCCCUCCGUUUCAGUGUCAUAAAGGUGUCAGCCAACAUCCCUGAAGCCGUGCUAAGAUUUCUAUGGAAGAGAAGACUCCAAAGUACGUACAGCUUUUGGCCCUCCCUCAGGAAGGGGCCGACUGUGGAGUGCACCGCAUGUUGUUGGGCUUUCUUCAUUUUUUAAUGACUCACGAGUUGGACCUUAUUUCUGUUCAUCUUUCAGUGCCAAACAGAAAUUGCUAUUUAGGUCAAACUGCUGUUUGGGUACUAACGGAAGCAGACAUCGGUUUUGUCUAUGGAUUUCACAGCUAUACGUUUUUUCAAAGUGAAGUUCCCUCUUUAGGCUACUGCUGACAUUCAGCUGUGCUGGUGUCACGUUGGCAUCAGCACUACCUUUGCUUCAUUACCGCACAUGCAGAGUCAAGGGAUCCAGCAGCAGAGCUUCUGUUCAGCCAUGGUUCCCCUCUGUUCACACGGGCUCUGGGUACGGUGUUCUCCUCUUCCCAGGUCCUGCUUUCAGGCUGCUGCACUGUCCUGGCUUUUGCAUCCUGGCUCUUCUCUCCAUCGGCGUGACCCUGCAUCCUGUUGGUGUAACUGUGUGUAUAGGACUCCUGUGGAUUUCCUUCAGUUCUUAUCAGCUGAGGAUCUUCCUCCCCGCCUCUGACUCAGGUACCGAGAUGCCUAAAGAUGGAUCUUUAAGCCUGCUUUUGCACAGAUGGUCAGAUCCUGAGCUACAGCUAAAGUGCAGGAUGGCACACAGAUGCGAAAUACUGGGCAGGAACAACCCGUAACUUUCCAGGAGUGAUUGGAGAGCUGCCUGAAGAACCCAGUGAAAGAUGCACUCAGACAACAUACGGAAGAAAAAGCUAGUGGCUUAUACCGAGGGUUAUAUAUAUUCACUACCAGAAAGAGUAGUGACAGCACUCUAUCAUCUGCCCCAGCUGAAUCAGUGCGUUAUUGUAUGUUGGCUGAAGGGAGGUUGUACUGAAGCUACCACAAAAGGGAUCCCAAAAUAAGCCAAACCUGCCCUUCCCCCCAGAGCCGCUUCUCACUGCUGUGGGAAGCAGCGGGCACGGAGGGCCUGCGCACCGUGGGCAGUGGCUGCAGGCCGUGUGGUGUAGGGCCUGCAAUUUCAGUGACGUUGGCAAAUUAAAGACACACAAAAAAUGUUUAAAUCAUCCCAAGUGGUAAGAUAACAGACGAAUUAGCUCCAUUCCAACAGCUAGUUGGAAUUCCUUAGUGUUAACGCUGUUGGCAUAGGUACUAAAUUAUUCAGGUUGUUCUGCAGAAUAAUCUGCUCUGUAUUUACAUGCAUUCUAAAUAUUUUAUUUAAAAUACUUUGAUACGGCUUUCCACGUUAGCUGCAUUUUAGUUUGUCUUCAUCUCUGCUCUCUGUGAGAAGUUGCUUUACCGUAAUUAAAACUAACCCUUACGAAAUGCAUUUAUCCAAAAUGGUUUUCUAGAAAUUUUCUCCUCCACAGACUACAUUACCCUCCCGGUACCGCAGCUGGGGGCCGAUCUGCCCAGCCGGCAUAAAGAGGGAUGAUUUAGAUCACUGAGCUCCAGCUCUUGGGUAGUGCUUUUUGCCACCAUGAAAUGCUUUGGGAAUUAAAGCACACCAGAAAACUCACUCGAAUCGCAUUUUAAAAAGCGUUUUCCACCAGUCACUAUGUUAGCAGACAUUAUUGUCACCAGAAAGCCUCUGCUAAUCUUACAAAGCAUCUGCGAUGAAUAAUCUUCCCCCUCCCCCAUUCUUAUUUGCUGCCAGAAACAGCUUAUAAAUGCUUACUUGAAAUCUCUGCCAAAUUUUGUUUUUAGGCACGCCGUUGUAAAUAGAGAGUAUUUUCCCCGAUCUGGGUAGGAUCCCUCUGGAUUUACACGGGCGCGAAUGAAGCCCCGGCUUUGCCUGGUCCGUUCUCAGCCGCCCCUUGCUGCCCUGCAGGCUGCAGCGCUGCCGCCUCUGCCGCUGGUGGAGGGCGAGUGCUCGAGCACAGCCCGUCCAUCGCUGACAAAUUAUUAUAAACAGAUUUGAACAAAUAUUUCUUUGCAAAACAAACCGGUCAGCAGGCUCCAGGCUCUAUUCUCCUGAUGCGUUUUACAGGAAAUAAUAUCAAGUUAGCUAUUAUGAAACUACCCCCUCCUCACACACGCGUAAUUGCUUCCAGCUUUCUGAUGAUUACCCUUUCCUUAACUGAUAGGGUGAGAAGAGAAAUAAAAAUAUCUCCAUACAGUGGGCCAAAUCCUCAUCUGGUAUAAAUCGACAUAGCUCCAUCAAAGUCAAUAAAACCACGCUGAUUUACACCAGUUGAGGAGUUGAUGCACCGUAAUUUUUUACUUGCUUUUAAAAAUAAAACCUUAUGUGAUUGUGUAACCAACAUUGCAACAGAAACCGGCAUUUCCUUUUGUGAACUCAACAUGUGCCCUCAACUUUCAAACAUUUUCACUUAGAUAGUCCUACAGAUAUUUGUCCUCGCCUUCUGGCACAGUGCUCCCACCACCCUUCUACUGGGCCAGCAUCAUCACAGAGGUGCAAACUGUGCUGAAUGAGGGUCAGACACAAAUUAGUAUUUUUACCGAGUAAUGAGGAGAAGGAAUGCCAUUCUGCCACUAUUCUUUCACGCAGAAGAGGGAAAAGAGGUUGGAGAUGGGAGCGCAGAUCAGUGCAGUGCUCUGUUCUGGGGAGCCUUGCUUCAGUUUUGACUGCUGAAAGCUCAUCAAAGCAGCGUGUUUCCAAUGAAAUGCUUCCAGCUCUGAGCUCGUUUCAGCAGAAAAUGCAAAUCUAACCAGCUACAACCCCAGCUUCCUUCCUCCAAGUCAUAUGGAAUAGGCACAGAAGAUUUAGGUAACGUCUCAGACUUGUCUUCCUUUUUAUCUGCAGCAAAACUUUUAUUUUAUUCCUAAGUAUGGCAACAAAGAUUGAAAAAAAAAAAUCAUGGCACUGCCUUGCCUUAGGUAUGCUGGAGCUUUGUGGCAUCUUUAGUCUGGACUCUUGGCCUUACAGACUAGAGAAACCUGAAAGUGUACUGGAUGUGAAGUCAAAACAGCUUGUUACCCAACUUGCUUUCUUCCACGGAGUAUUGAAAUAUUAAGAACGCAGGCAAAUAAUGCUUAGAUACAACCUUCUUUGUUUGUAUGGAGUUGCAUUUGUUUGUUUGAAGCCAGGCUGGGUGGAGAAUUUUGCAUUUUAUGUCUUCGCGGUGAAUUGUGUGGCUCUGAAAUGUGAGUAAGAUAAGAUCACAAACAAGUAAAAACAUGUGUAGGCUGAAAAAUCAAUAUGUUUCAAAAUAACCGUUGAGAAACAAAUUAUUCCUGUAUUAAUGUGCUGAAAACCAGGUUUAGGAUUCUGCUAUGGCUGAUAAUGCUACUAACAUCUAAUGCGGUACUGCCGGGGAUUAGAUCUGCCUUCAUAGUCAGAAGUUAAUCACGUCACCACCUAGAAGUAAGGUACUCAAAAAGCUGAUAAUGGUAAACGCAAUACUGAGGAUUUUUUGAGCUUCCCAUUCUUUGCAUAAUAAUUAAGUCUUAACAACAAUAGUUCUUUUUCAUCACUUGUGCCGAGGUCGGCUCUUUCCAUUUGCCCUGAAAUUUUCUAAUGUUUUAGCUGAAUUAUCCAGAACAGCUACUUCCUUGUUAGAGAUGUUCCUGUUUCUCAAUUCAGGGCUCAACGUCAUUGUCAAUGAAGGGUGGCAGAAUUCCUGCUAGCUUAAUCACAUUCAGACCUAUACCAUGCCUAACAUCAGAAAGCCAUUAAUAACUAGCUUAUGCCAACCAAAGUCUGCUUUGUCUGUGAUGACGCAUCUUAAAAAUAGUUUCCUCUGAAUGAAAUCUAUGUUUCUGCACUGAAUUAUUACUUGCUGGGAAUCGCUCUUUCAGUGAUCCUUUCAAUUUUGCUCAAACACCCACUGCCCUUGAGAAGCACCUGAAGAAGCUAUUCCUAAUGUGAUACAAUUCAGGAAUAACUAAAGACAAUAACUGAAAACUGUAGGCUACCAGCAAUGUAAAGAUUUAGUUUGCCUCCAGAACCGGGCAUUUCUUUCCUCAGCCCAUCCUUUGCUUAGAACACUCAGGGAUGCUACAGGAUUAGAACACUUGACUUUUCAGAAAUAAUCCUAAGAAUCCACAGUCUCUGUGCCUGGUACGUAAUUCACUAAGACAGAAUUAAACGUUUCCUGUUUAUAUUUCUCUCUAUACGUUGAAGUCUCCUGAGUGCCGGAUUUGUCUACAAGUCAGCCAUGUAUGUACUGUAAACAUCUGCGUAUUUACAAUGCAGAAUUCCCCUAAUUCUCAAUACCUCAGAUAAUGAUCGACUUCUUAAGAAGAUACACGUGGAAUUACAGUCUCGUCCUCUCUACAGUUUAACUUUGGAUAAUCAAUGACCACAGCCAGGCUGGAAGAAGAAAAACAAGUUGGCAGCUGUGACUAUGUGUUAAAAGGGAUGUUUAUGACUGGAUGAUUAAGAACAGCCGUUGGAAGGGAUCGAGACUGGCAGCAAAGCAUGUUUAAUGAGUGCCUUGCUUGAAACGCACCGUAAUACACAUUGCUUGUUUAGAAGAAGAAAACCACUUAUGACGGUACUCGAUGGCCUCUGCCAUUACAAGACCGUCAGAAUAGAGACCCAACUGAAUCAUUUGCACAACCUUUUUCUUAUCUUUCCGUGAGACAAAGUUCAUACAGAGAGAUAAGGAGACACUGCAAAUCAGAAGCUAAGCCUGGAAGAGCCUCCUGCAUUCAGAGAACCUUUGCUGCUACUUCAUUUUCCUAAGGAAACCCAGUAAGUUCAUGGUAUUUCCAGAUUUUCUGUGUGUGUGUCUGUGUGUUACCCGGUUCACUUCGAGUGAUUAUGAACUGCUCUCUGUAGGCUGCUUUGUUGCAGCGGCAAGCAAGCUAACUUGGCUUGAAGUGCAGUAUUCCUUUUUCCUCAUAACUGGCACUGCCUGUCUCUUAGAUGCACGUUGAGGGUUGCUCCCACUGAACAUCUGAUUGUUGUAAAAUUUGCAAAUAACUUUGGUUGGUUUUUUUGUUUGUUUGUUUGCUUUGUUUAGGCAUAAUCAUUUGAGCGUUUGGAUUAGCACAUCUACUGGGAGGACAAAGGGAUAAUGCCAACUCUAUCCCUUUCUCUGUAGCCCUUGUAAACAGUAAGAAAAUCAUUUUUCCUAAAUCCCGUGCUUGGCCCUCAGGUCCAUACAAUGACUAUUUCCCUCUUUUCUUUCUCGUUCCUUCUCACAGAGCGCAAUACCCACUCAGGCCCAAGAUUUGUAGCUGGUUCUAAAAGGGCAAAGGUUCCCCAUGACUCCAGGCAACAGGAACACACGCAAAAAAAACUCUGUCCCUUUGCUCCAGGCAACUGCUAGACAGAGGGUUGGGGUUCUGUUCUGUGCUGUUUGGGCUUUUUUCCCUCUGGAGGUGUAGUGCCUUUGCUCUUAAAGCAUUCUCAUCUACCUGGGAAAAUCACACAGGGUUACUUCUUGCUCAGCUCGUCAUAUUCAGCCCAUUGCCUUGGAUAGCUGCUGCUUCCAGAGCUACCACUGUCCAAAGACACGUGUCCCAGGGCACCCCACGCUUAGCCCAAGCUAAUAAAUCAAGUGUAUGACUGUCAACUGAUUAAAACCUGCUGAUGUUGCUAUUAAUAGUUUUCAGCAUUAUGAAAUGUUGGCUUUCUUAUUACUGCAUCAAACUUCAUCAUUUUCUCACCAGAAGCUUGAGAGCAAGAUUGCAUAAAGCAAGCAACAGGAACUCAAACAAAUGGUACCUGGGCUGGUUCAAUGGAGACCAAAGAAAAGUAAAUGUACUGAAUCCUAUUGGUUGGCAUGAAAAGUAAUAGUUUCUUAUUGCUGAGAUGAUCCUUCCUCAUCCAAAGAUGACUCAAAAAAAUUGUUUUUUGUUUGAAGGGUUGCAAGUUUUGUGUUGUCUUUCUGCAGUUUGGGUAACUACUCCAUGACCCUGAGCUCUGGGGUGCUCCCGAGGCAGACCCACAGCAGAACGGGUGCACACAGCCUGUGCCAUUUGUUCUGGGCAUCAGAGCUGAGAAAGGAACAAAUGCGGGCUGCCUCAGCGGGUCUGUGCCCUGCUGAGUUGUUCCUGGUGAUGUGAACACGUUUAUGGCUGGGGCAGUUAAGCUGCUGGCUCUGGAGCUGUUUCGAGCUGCUGGAGGCAUGCCAAGGGUCUGGCUCAACUGAUAGAUCUUGUUUUCAAGUUGCACAAGCACGAGUAACCUGCAAGGCUCCAUUAUUUGUUUCAGUACAAUUGUUGAGAUAGGGUUACCUAUAUAGCAGCUACACAGGAACCCAUCUUGGCAUUUGUCACCUCACCUUAAAUGUCCUCCCUAGAAGCUGCAUCCUCACCUGUAGGCCUUUGGGUCUGACCUUACAGCUGGUAUUCUGACCUCCACAGUCUGCAGAGGUCGGGGUGAUAUUCACCUUCUUCUUUUGAGAAGCUGUAGAUCAUAUUCACCCCUGAUGUAAAACCUCCAACCUUAGCCCUUAUUAUUAUUUUUAGGACAAAAUCAGUCAGGUUUCAUCAUGAACCAAAGAGUAAUUUUAAUAGGCUUGAGCUUACAAGUGUGACGUUCCCUACUUGUGCUUAUGCUUUUUCUUAUUGUUUGCUGUACCUCUGUGCUCUUUAGAAGUUCAGAAUGAGUUUCUCUUCUCAAAGGGUUUUUGCACAGGCUCUGGGAGAUGCUUGUGUAAGGGUAAAACAUGCAUGUGUUCAACUACGUGGCUGGUGGCUGUUUGCAGAGCUCACAGCAGGACCAAGAGUGGGAUCUGGGACGAUUACAUUAAAGAGGAGGUGGAAAAUUUCCCUCCCGCAUUCCCUACCGCUGCAAAAACAGACCAAUUUGCAGGAGCUCGUAUGCUACUCCAAAGGACCAAAAACUGGAGGGUAAGAUGGGACAGGCUGACUUAUGCAGCAUAAGGCAGUCAGGCAGCACAGGAGUGCGGACGCUCAGCUGUACGCAAUGACCGCGGUGUAAGGGGGGCCCCGCGUCCGCUCCCCCAGCAGCACCGCGCGGUCGGUGCGCCCCGCCUGGGCGGCGGGAGG